ensembl:lncRNA
CUCAAGUAUUUAUUUAUAGUUCAUAUUUAAUAUAGAACAAAUCCAAUUUUGGUGUUGACAUUGAGUCUUAGUAGAGUUUCUGGAAUGAAGCAGAUGAGGAAAAGUAGUUCAGAUUGAUUGAAUCUGAGCUUUGGGGAUUUCAAAUGCAUGCUUUUUUUUUUUCCUCUUUCAGAAUGUUAACAUUUCAAUUUUGGUGAAUAUCGGUUUUAAGUUUCCUAAUAAAAAUUUUAAGUGAACAUAUACAAAGUGUUACAUGUUAAAUGAACAGAUGCAAAAUGUUAUAAGUUACAUACCGAACCAGCGACCCGAUUGUUACCGCUAGUAGCUGCUGUAAGAGACUGGAGCGUACACUUGUAAAUUUCAGCCAUCAGAGCCAGAAGUAAUGGCAGUCCUACAUUUUCACCAACCAUGGAGCAAAUUCUUCCUCAGUCUCCAAUUCCAGCUUGCGUUCUGUGGUAGAUUUGGAGCCAGAAAAUUUCUUUUUGGGGCCUAUUUUGCAUCAACCAUAGAUGCCCCAAACAGAAGCUUCAUAGUUUGAAUGGACCUGAAGCAUUUGUGGAAAUUUUCUGGUGUGCCUGGGAGCAGUGGGAGAGCCCAAGUCUGGAGUGGUAGCCAAUUAUACUUUGUCACUUUGUGUGUACUUAAAACAUCCUAAAUGGCGCAGAAACAUGAAUAUAACUAUUGAUAUAUAGGUGCGUACUGAGUAUUCUAAGUAGCAGAUAGAUAUCAAAUUACUGUAUAAGCCCAGAAUCGCCUAGACAGCAGGUCUGCUAAUUCUCUGUUAUACAGACCAGUAGGUAGCCUUUACACGUUUUCGCAUUUCUUCUUUCAUAGUACCGAAGGGAGUGCUGUGGCUGGCAGGUGAAGUUAGUGGCCUUGUGCCCUUUAUCUUUUCUGUCUUCUCUUCUUUCCUCAUCUUCUGGGAUGCUGCUGGCUGUAUCUGUCUCAGACCUGUUGCUAUAUUGGAAUCAGAUCUGUGUAUGUUUGAAGAGGUUAUUUUAAGCACUUCAUUUUUACUCAGCCCUAGGAAGGGUCAAGUAUGAUGAAGACCCUCCCUGGGUAUUUGCUUUUGCAACAUUAAAAAAAAAAAAAAAGCCUCGGUGCUAAAAGUAUUUGAUGAUGCAUGCUCAACCACAAAAAUGUGCCACUGAAUUCACAGUAUUUCACUGAUAAAGGACUGCAUGUGCUUUGCUUUUGGAAAUGUAAAGAAAACCCAGAAAACAGGCACUCAUUACUCUCAUUACAAUAGUGAAUACAAGAACUUUACACACAAAAAUGAAGAGCGUAAGGGGGAAUACUUUUUCUAUGGAAAACUCAGCGCUUUUGAUAUUUAUUUUAGCAAGAAUAAUCAGAUGCUGAAAAUAAUUUCAGAGAGAGGGGGGAAAAUAUUUCAGAUAAUCUUUUCAUAUUUCUUCUCCAAAAAACUUACGCCAUGUCAGGUGUUUUUAAUAUUGGGGUUUGAAGGUGUCGUCGUCUUCUGCCAUUCUACUAUUACAUGUUAAAAUCCAAGAAGAAGAUAUUAUAGAAAACUAAGGUAAUUGCAGGGACAUAUUAAACCAAAGGGGUGAACAAAAGAAGUUUAAAGUUUGUAUCUAGAAAUGAAAAAUAAGAAUAAUUGGUAAGACUUUAUAGUGGGCAUUUUUCUUAAAAUACAUACCUCUAACCCAAACCCCAAAGGUUAAUUUAGAAGCACGAAUCAGGCAGGCGAGCCUCUUAACUCUUUUGUUAAAAGGAAAUGUAAUACUGUGUCAAAUCAAUCGUCGUUAGGAUCCUAGUGGAGUGUGUGUGUUCCGCGUGUGUGUUUCUGUAUGUAGAGGUGUGCUUGUGAUGAAAGACUGUUUUGAAUUGUUGCAUAAAGGAGUUUGAUUUUGUGAUUUUUUAAAAUGAAUAUUUAUUUGGAGACCUCUUAGGGUAAUUUAAAAGAUGUAUCAUUUCCUUGUGUUUGAUGAAAUCUAUUGUCAAUGUACUAAUAAACCUUGGUUUACAUCAUCUUGAAUACUUGAUCAUUGAAAAUUAAGGAAAAAAGUAAAAAAAAAAAA